GUCAAAUAGAGCUGUUUUUUUUAAUAAACGCUUCAAUUUUGCAAGAAUUAGUAGCUUUUGUUAGAACAAACGUCGCUAAUUAAUCAUCAAAAUUUUGAAAUUGACCCAGCCCCUUUCAUUUCUGCCGAAAGCUAUUCCUCAUCUGCUCACGACAAUGGGUGUCAUUCUGACACAGAUGAAAGAUUCCUCAUCUGCUCAUGACCCUCUUUUCCCAUGGCUCCUAUAUUCUUUUCUCUUUUGUUUUUUAAAAAUUUAGGUUUCUCUGAAUUGUUUGCUAUGAAUUCAUUUUUUUCCUAACUAAUUGCAAAUCCAUGUUGAAAGAAAGAGUUUUUGGGUAAUGAGUUGGUAUUUGGAGACAUAGUUUAGAAUAAGAAGAAAGAGAAAGGUAAAGUUAGUUGGGUUUGUGAGAAUUGUGGGUAUUGAGAUGGUUUGUGGUCAUUUUAGGACGAUGAAGAGGUUUUCAGAAGUGGAAACUAAGAACACAGGGUUGGAAUUUUCAAAAAUUAUGGUGCGGUCUUGGCUACCAAAGGAUGCAGGGGAUGUGGAACCAGUUAGAUUGGUUGAUGUUGAGUGUGGGAUUAAGAAGAUGGAUUACCAAAUUCCAGUUUGGACCCUUUGGAAAUUAAGUUGCUAGGGUGCUUGGUGGUGGUCUUGUUUCAGGUUCAUUGGUUUUUUUAGUGGUGAUCCUGGUGUUGGAAAGAGUACUAUACUUUUAUAGAGUGUUGAACAAAUUAGCACAGAGCUGACUGUAUGAAGAUUGGAGCCACUAAUCUUUACCUAUACUCUAUACUGAUAUUGAGGAAGUUGCUAUCAAAAGAAUGACUGCAACAUAUUCAAAGGAAUUUAUGGAAAAGAUGAAAGUCUUGUGUAAGUUUCAUCAUGCAAAUCUGGUAAUGCUUUCUGUAUGAUAAGCUUGCUUUCUAUAUGAUUGGCUAUGUUGCAAGCGAUAAUAAGCUAUUUCUUAUUUAUGAACAUGCUCAAAAAAUCUCUCUUAGACGCCAUUUACAUGAUCCGCAGAACAAAGGUAAGAUUCUAGCAGUGCUUUCUUAAGUUUUUACAAUUUUUAUUUAAUUUUAAGAAUGAAUUUCUUGAGUUUUUAUAUCAUUGUUUUUAAAAAAUUAAUUGAUAGCAUUACAUAGAUUAAAAAAACUUUUAAAAUUCUUGGAGGGCCAUGGCCCCUUCAUUCCCUUAUACGGCAUCACCACUAAAUGUAUAAUCCACCUUUUUGGAUGUUAUCUUUUGCACGUCAUAAUCUGUUUGAUAGAUUGAAUUUUGUCAUUUGGUAUAAAAUCCUCAUGUUUGGACAAUUUUAGGCAUUAUUGCUGAUUUUUUAUCUUGAUGUUUCUUAAAGUUAUUUGCAUAAGCUCAUGGUAGCUAAUAAGGUAAUCAGGAUGUUUCGAAGUGCCUUACACUUGUUGCUGUCUGGAAUUGCUGUUGAUAAAAAAUGAACUAUCUACUUUUUUGUUCUUUGACCUUUUCCCUUCAUAUUUCACUGUUUUUAUACCUCUAUGCAAUUACUUUGUCUUUUUUUUUUCUUUUUAUUUGGAUGAUGGCACAUUUAUUUAAGAUAAAGCUAGAUAACCUAGUCCACUGUGUGCAAUUUAUGUUACAGAUGUGUCAUAAACAUAGAGUCAUGCGUUGUAAUCUCAAACCAGAGAAUUUUCUAUCUGCUAAUAAAAAGGAAACUUCCCCAUUGAAGGUAAUUGAUUUUGGGUUGUUUGUCUUCUUUAAACUUGGUAUUGCAUAUUAACUAUUGACUAUUUGAGCUAUAUAAGUGUAUUUCCCCUUUUCUAUCUUUGGAAGUUAAAUUUAGACUGUUUUGAUUAUCUUUUUUUCUAUAUUAUGCUCAAAUAGCUGAAGUUUGCUUUAAGAGUGCUUUUUUUAAAUAGGUUCUUAUGAAUCAGAGGUUGAUGUUCGGAGUGAUGCAGUUAUCCUCUAUAUUUUACUUUGUGGUGUCCUACCAUUAUGGGCAAGUUGGUCUUUCACUUAACGAAGUAUUUGCUUUUGUUCAUUUGACUUUAUGGAGGUUAGAGCUCAAGACAGCUAUAGAGGCAGUGUGUGCUUUUAGAGCCUGUGGGCAAAAGAUAAGAGAGAUAUCAUGAUAAGGUUUUCUUUUCAAACUCUUCAAUAUUAUGUGAUCAAGAGUUUGAUGUAUUCUUUUGCUUACAUUUUCCCUAUCUACUCUUAUGUUUUUAGAAAAAUAGAUAUAAAUAAUAUUUGUUGUGUUUUCAU